rnacentral:rRNA from 1 species
AUACGGAGGGUCCGAGCGUUAUCCGGAAUCAUUGGGUUUAAAGGGUCCGUAGGCGGGAAUCUAAGUCAGUGGUGAAAUCUUGCAGCUCAACUGUAAAAUUGCCAUUGAUACUGGAUUUCUUAAAUUAGUGUGAAGUGGUUAGAAUGUGUAGUGUAGCGGUGAAAUGCAUAGAUAUUACACAGAAUACCAAUUGCGAAGGCAGAUCACUAACACUAUAUUGACGCUAAGGGACGAAAGCGUGGGGAGCGAACAGGAUUAGAAACCCUAGUAGUCC